GUGGGAGGCAAAGAGGAGAGGAGAGAUGAAUCUGUAAUGAGAGAAGAGAGAAAAGAGAUACAAAAAAAGGUUAACCUGAGUACAAAGCUCCUUUCCCUAUACCAUUUGCCAACAUCCGAGGAACACCUACGUUUUUCAAAACACUGGAGACCGAAAAUCUACUCAGAUCCAUAACCUUGCAAGAACGGAGCUGCAAUCUGGUAACAGCACCAACACAACCAGAACGAGGCAUCUACUCCAGGACAAGAAGGUUGACUUCUUUACGGGCUGGAGCAAAUGUGAGAAAGCCAAGAAAGCCUGGCUACAUUUCUUAAUUUUUUGUAGAUCAGGCUGAGGUACACGGAUUCAGAGAAUUCAAAAUCAUUAAGACCAUUAACUCUGAUCUACGAGGAACGGAGGAAACAAAACUUUGCUCAGCGGGAUCUGGUUUAACUGCUUUUCUUGGGAGUCUGUCUUGACGUAGUGAUGAUGACUCCAUGGCAUUGGAGUCAGACAGCCCUGGCCUCAAAUUCCAGCUUGAAUAAUCACUGGCUGUGUGACUUAAUCAACUGCGACACCUCUCAGACCUUCAGUGUCUCCCCCUGUGAAUAAGACCUAUCUCACGUGAUAAUUAUGGGACUCAAAUGAAAUAAAGUGAUGAACAAAACAGACCAGAGACAAGAUCCCUGUCCUCAUGGAACUGCCUUUCUAGGCAGGGUGGUGGGGAAACUGCACGCGUGUGCGCGCACACACACACACACACACACACCAAUCAAUCGGGAAGUGAUGAGUACUGUAAAGAAAAUGAAACCAUUGUAAAAGGACAGGGAUGAUGGGGGGCAGGGGGCAAGGAGUGGUCUUCUUCUUUCAAGAGGGCAUGGUCAGGGAGGUCUUCUUUGAUAAUAUUGAGGAGACCUGAAUGACAUGAGAGUGGCCAUGAAGACAUCUCCAUGAAGAAUAUUCCAGGCAGGGGGAGGAGUUAAAACAAAGACCCUGAGGCAGGAACAGGAUUGGUAUGUUGAAGAGCAGGGGAAGACCUGUAUGGCCAGGACUGAUGGGUGACAGGAGGAUACUGGAGGGGGAGUCAGGGGGCUCACAGAACAGAGCAGGAGCCCCCUAUUGGCCACAGAACUCCGGAUUUUAUUCCGAGCUGAAUGAGGAGUCAUUAGAGAUUUCUGGGCAGAGUCAUGAUGCAAUUUGUUUUAUAUUUUGAAAGGAUCCAUCAGGUGCAUGCAAAAUAGAUUCUAGAGGGUCAAGGUGGAAGCAGAAAGUUCAGUUCGAUUAGUAAAGUAACCUAAACAAGAGAUGGUGGCUGAGGUGGUGGGUAGGAGAGGUGGUGAAAAAAUGGUCAUAUUUGGAAGAUUGUUUUCUAUUUUUUAAACAACUCUGUUGAGGCAUAAUUUACAUACCAUACACUUCAUCCAUUUUAAAUGUACAAUCAGUAUUUUUUGAAAAUUUCUAGAUUUAUGCAACCAUCACCCCAACCCAGUUUUAGAACAUUUCCACCAGCCCCCAAAGAUCCCCCAAUUCCCGUUCACGUUUCACUCCUGUUCUCACGCCUGGUCCCAGGCAACCACUAAUAUGCUUUCUCUCUCUGUGGGUUUGCCUUUCCUGGACGUUUCAUAUGAGUGGAAUCAUACAACAUGUAACCUUUUGAGUCUUGGUUCUUUCACUUAGCAUUUUCUUUUUGAAAAUCUAGGUUGUGGCAUAGAACAGUAGUCUAUUCCUUUUUUCUUUGCUAAAUAGUAUUCCGUUGCAUGAAGACAGUGCAUUUUGUUUAUCUGUUCACCAAUUGAUGGUCAUUUGGAUGGUCUUCCUUAAUGACUACUAUGACUAAUCCUUCUGUGAAUAUUCAUGUACAAGUCUUUGUGUGGACAUAGGUUUUCAUUUCCCUUGGGUAGAUACCUAGCAGUAGAAUUACUGGAUGUUACUGUAAGCUUAUAUUUGGCAUUGAGCAUUUCUUAUGUUAAGAAAGUGAAAAACUGUUUUCCAAAGUGACUGUAUCAUUAUGUAUUAACACUCAACAAUGUGUGAGGACUCAGGUUUCUCCAUUCACUCACCAGAGCUUGUUAUUACCUUUUUUAAAUUGUAGUCAUUCUAGUAGGUAUCUUGUGAUUUUAGUUUGCCUGUCCCUCAUCACUAAUGAUGUUGAACAUGUAUUGGCCGUGUGUAUGUCUUCUCUGAUGAAGUAUUUAAGUAUUCGACUCACUUUUUGAUUGACUUGUUUGUUUCUUUACCUUUGAGUUACAAGAAUGCUUCUUAUAUUUGGGACACAAGACCCUUUGUCGUAUUUAUGCUUUACAAAUAUUUUCUCCCAAUCUGUGGCUUGCCUUUUAAUUUUCUUGACAUAUAUUCUAAAGCAUAAAAUGUUUAAAAUUUGAUAAGGUCCAACGUAUCUACUUUUGGUGACAUAUCUAAGAACUUUUUUUUCAUUUUAAAGGCAAAUCUAACGGAAUUUGAUGAUGGGUUUGAUGUUGGGUCGGGAAGAAAAGAGGAGUCAAAGAUGACUGAAGAUUAUGUUCUGAGCAAUCAGAAAAAAAAGGAAUUUUCAUUUAUCAAGUGAAUAAAGACUGGGAAGGAAAAAGUUAGGCAGUGGGAACCCAAAGUUGUUUUAACCAAGUUACAUUUGAGAUCCUCGUUAGGUGUCAAAGUGAGGGUGUGAACCAG